rnacentral:rRNA from 1 species
UACGUAUGGUGCAAGCGUUAUCCGGAUUUACUGGGUGUAAAGGGAGCGUAGGCGGCGCGUUAAGUCUGAUGUGAAAACCCGAGGCUCAACCACGGGAGUGCAUUGGAAACUGGCGGGCUGGCGUGCCGGAGAGGUAAGCGGAAUUCCUAGUGUAGCGGUGAAAUGCGUAGAUAUUAGGAGGAACACCAGUGGCGAAGGCGGCUUACUGGACGGCAACUGACGCUGAGGCUCGAAAGCGUGGGGAGCAAACAGG